UUGUCACCGGGCUGGACAGCUACAUGCCAAGAUGCCACCUGCAGGGAUUGUUUUGCGCCCCAUGUGCAGGGCUGAGGCACGGACAGGAAGACGUGUGGUGUGCAUGGGUCUGGGCACACGGGCACACGGGCACACACACGGGAAGCCUGGGGGGAUUCUCUUUGGAGCCACAAUCAGAAUGGAUUUCCGAGAGGGAGCCGGUCAGAGUGCCUUCCUCUUCCAUGUGCUACCUACCUCCGGCCCAUCCCUGCCAGCCGGGUCUUCAGGAGAGUGGUCGGAGCCUGCUUCAACUCUGGCCAAGGGGAAGGGCAGAAUGAGAAUGAGGACAUAAAUCGUCCCAGAGGCUCGUAGAGGGGUUGAGUCUCUCACCACUUCCUGCGGGGCUUCUGAAUACUUCCAAGAGCAGAAGCACUUUUCCCAACAGACAAGUCAGUAAGAACCUGCCGAGAUAAACUGUGGCCAUCUUCAGCCAGCGUUCAUGCUGACCGCUGACGGCCCUCUGGGCACUUCUGUGUGCCAUGCCUUGGGCUAAGCACUAUCUCAUUUAGUCCUCGCAACAACCCUGCAAGCCCCAGGAAUGGAAUUAGGAAGCUCAGGAUGGCAAAGCCACACGCGGAUGGGCCCGGUGCCGGCGGGACAGCUACGAGGCCUGAAUUGGCAGAAUCUUUAAAUAACCAAGGACCCAUUAGCGUGCGUGAGGAGUGCGCCUGAGACUGCGUGGCCGGCCGGACGGGAGCUCCCAGGGAAGAGGGGUCGAGCUGUGACACCAGAGGAGGGCAGCUGAGCCCCAACAGAGAAGUCUCUGCCUGCUGGCUUCAGACUCAGGACUCUGGACACUUGACUUUCUGGAGAGGGCUUCCCUUCUGCAAAGUCAAGAUCAAAGAUCAAAGCCAUCAGCUGGUCAUGCUGGAGGGGGACACGCAGAGUCACGGUCCUGACUGUGGGCAUCAUAGUAACGGUGGAUGUUGAGGAAAGAGGGCAGCGGGGUGAGGUGACAUGUGACUGUCUCCUGCUUCGACACUAACUGAUAAGCAUCCAAAAGGGCAGGAAUGUGUGAUUUUAAUGAGACGAUCAAUUCUGAACUUUGGAUGUGCCAAGUACUGGCCAAGUAGCCUAGGGCACUGUUUACUUCUCUUCCCAGUUUCUUCAACUAUAAUAUGAAUUUUAACAAAAAGAUUGAUCUGAGAGGAAGACAUAUAAAAGACAUAUAGUCCAGUGCCUGGUAAACAACACAUUUUAUAUUGCUUUCGUAUGUGUAUAUUGUUAAUUAUAUUUAUAUAUUAAAUUACUAUGUUUCAAGCGCUGUUCUGUUUUAUAUGUAAAAACUGAUUAUAUGUUCAUAUUUGUCCUAGGAAUAGGCAUGAUUAUUUUCUCUGAUAUAUACAUAAGGAUUCUGAGACUCAGAGAUGUGACGUGCCUAAGGUUCACAGCAAUUAAGUGGCAAAUUGU